CGGCCACCGCUAUUGGAGUCCGCUUAAGACAUGCGAGUCGAGAGGGGUCAAGUCCUCGGCGCACUGCUCAGUAACACGCGGAUAAUCUGCCCUAAGGCGGGGAAUAAUCUCGGGAAACUGAGAAUAAUGCCCCAUAGCCCACGGAUGCUGGAACGCACCGUGGAUGAAAGCUCCGGCGCCUUAGGAUGAGUCUGCGGCCUAUCGGGUUGUAGUGGGUGUAACGGACCCCCUAGCCUUCGACGGGUACGGGCUUUGAGAGAAGUUGCCCGGAGAUGGGUUCUGAGACACGAACCCAGGCCCUACGGGGCGCAGCAGUCACGAAAACUUGGCAAUGCGGGAAACCGCGACCAGGGGACUCCAAGUGCUAAUACUUUGUAUUAGCUGUUCUUCUGUCUAAAAAACAGGAGAAGUAAGGGCUGGGUAAGACGGGUGCCAGCCGCCGCGGUAAUACCCGCAGCCCGAGUGGUGGUCAUUAUUAUUGAGCCUAAAGCGUCCGUAGCCGGACUCGUAAAUCCUUGGGUAAAUCGGGCAGCUUAACUGUCCGAAUUCCGAGGAGACUGCGAGUCUUGGGACCGGGAGAGGUCAAAGGUACUCCACGGGUAAGGGCUAAAUCUUGUAAUCCUUGGGGGACCACCAGUGGCGAAGGCGUCUGACUAGAACGGAUCCGACGGUAAGGGACGAAACCCUGGGGCGCAAACGGGAUUAGAUACCCCGGUAGUCCAGGGCUUAAACGCUGCAGAUUUGGUGUCGGGGGUCCUACAAGGGCACCCGGUGCCGGAGAGAAGUUGUUAAGUCUGCCGCUUGGGGAGUACGGUCGCAAGACUGAAACUUAAAGGAAUUGGCGGGAGAGCACCGCAACGGGAGGAGCGUGCGGUUCAAUUGGAUUCAACGCCGGAAAACUCACCGGGGGCGACCAUCACAUGAAAGCCAAGCCGAUGACUUUGCUUGAUUCUUGGAGAGGUGGUGCAUGGCCGUCGUCAGUUCGUACCGUAGGGCGUUCUGUUAAGUCAGAUAACGAACGAGACCCUCACCCUUAAUUGCUAGUUCGGAGGUGACUCCGGGCGCACAUUAAGGGGACCGCUGGCGCUAAGUCAGAGGAAGGAGAGGUCAACGGUAGGUCCGUAUGCCCCGAAUCCCCCGGGCAACACGCGCGCUACAAAGGACAGGACAAUGGGUUCCGAUGUCGAAAGGCAAAGGCAAUCCCGAAACCUGUUCGUAGUUCGGAUUGAGGGCUGUAACCCGCCCUCAUGAAGCUGGAUUCCGUAGUAAUCGCUCGUCAACAUCGAGCGGUGAAUAUGCCCCUGCUCUUUGCACACACCGCCCGUCAAACCACCCGAGUUGGGUCUGAGUGAGGGUGUCCUUUUUGGGAUGCUCGAACUUAGGUUCAGCAAGGAGGGUU
rnacentral:rRNA from 1 species